rnacentral:misc_RNA from 1 species
UCUCCGUAGGUGAACCUGCGGAGGGAUCAUUACUGAGUGAGGGCUCACGCCCGACCUCCAACCCUUUGUGAACACAACUUGUUGCUUCGGGGGCGACCCUGCCGGCACUCUGUCGCCGGGCUCCCCCGAAGGUCUCCAAACACUGCAUCUUUGCGUCGGAGUUUAGAACAAAUCAAACAAAACUUACAACAACGGAUCUCUUGGUUCUGGCAUCGAUGAAGAACGCAGC